CAUGAAGUUCUAUGUUUUAGAGGACUAAUAACAUGUAGAUCUUCUUUCAAGCUCAGACUUGGUAAGGAAGAGAAGUAACAGUUUUUGCUCCUUUCUGUGGAACUGCCAGAUUUGCAGCAAGCUCCCUUUUCCCAUCAUCUUUGAGCUGAGGUAAGGAGGUUAAAGAAAAGUAACAUUCAGCAGUUUUGUUUUAUAUUCAAUGCAACCUUAUUAGCUCUUGUUCUCUAUUCCAUAGACUAAUGAAGAUAUUCAUUUUACAUCCUAUUCCCUCUCACAAAGCAAGACAAAAAAUAUGGAGAUACUUCCUCAUAUGGACACAGGAUGGCUAUGUAACAACUAAGGACAUUCUCGACACAAUUCAAAAGAAA
rnacentral:lncRNA from 1 species